rnacentral:tRNA from 1 species
GCUAUAUGGUGCAUGGGCUGCUGCCGUUGAUCUAUCUGACGUGGCUCAUCGGUGCCUGGGCCGCGGUGACGUUCGACUGGUCAAUAUGGAC